UGCUCUUGACAUGUAUGGAAGAUCUGAGAGAUUAGAUUGUGCCUUCGGGAACCAUAACAC
rnacentral:rRNA from 1 species